rnacentral:snRNA from 14 species
AUCGCUUCUCAGCCUUUUGGCUAAGAUCAAGUGCAGAAUAAGUUCUACUGUGGCUUCUGGGGUCAAACUCUGGUUGUCAGGCUUGAUGUGUGAUAAACACUUUUACACAGUGAGCCACUUUGC